rnacentral:rRNA from 1 species
UCGGGAAUUUUGGGCAAUGGGCGCAAGCCUGAUCCAGCCAUACCGCGUGAGUGAAGAAGGCCUUCGGGUUGUAAAGCUCUUUCAGACGGAAAGAAACGGUCGCGGCCAAUACCCGCGACUAAUGACGGUACCGUAAGAAGAAGCACCGGCUAACUACGUGCCAGCAGCCGCGGUAAUACGUAGGGUGCGAGCGUUAAUCGGAAUUACUGGGCGUAAAGGGCGCGUAGGCGGUCGAGUAAGUCGGAUGUGAAAUCCCCGGGCUUAACCUGGGAAUUGCAUUCGAUACUGCUUGGCUAGAGUGUGGAAGAGGGAAGCGGAAUUUCCGGUGUAGCGGUGAAAUGCGUAGAUAUCGGAAGGAACACCAGUGGCGAAGGCGGCUUCCUGGUCCAACACUGACGCUGAGGCGCGAAAGCGUGGGGAGCAAACAGGAUUAGAUACCCAAGUAGUCCCUGAGCGGGCUGGCAAGGCGCAU